GAUAGCCUCAGUCCACCUGUGUGCGAGGCUAAGGAGCACAUGUAUUAUUGAGCUCUCCCCGUAAUUGACUCUGUGUGCCAGAGAGGGAGAAGCGGUCGCCUUUUGAUCCACUGAUUAUUUCUCCUUAUUACAGUAAAGGAAAGUGCUAAAUCUCAUCGAAGAGUGGUCGUGUGGUCUCUGUGUGUGUGGGGUGACCGGUCCAGACAUGCU